rnacentral:rRNA from 1 species
GAUCCUGGGCUCAGGAUGAACGCUAGCGACAGGCUUAACACAUGCAAGUCGAGGGGCAGCACAGGUAGCAAUACCGGGUGGCGACCGGCGCACGGGUGAGUAACGCGUAUGCAACUUACCUAUCAGAGGGGGAUAACCCGGCGAAAGUCGGACUAAUACCGCAUGAAGCAGGGGCCCCGCAUGGGGAUAUUUGCUAAAGAUUCAUCGCUGAUAGAUAGGCAUGCGUUCCAUUAGG